rnacentral:rRNA from 1 species
CCUACGGGAGGCAGCAGUGGGGAAUUUUGGACAAUGGGUGCAAGUCUGAUCCAGCCAUGCCGCGUGCGGGAAGAAGGCCUUCGGGUUGGUAAACCGCUUUUGUCUCGGAAAAAACACUCUGGGUCUAUACCCUGGUGUAAUGACCGUACCUGUAAGAAUCACGCACCGGUCUCAACGUACAUGCCACCCGCCACUACAAUACGUGCGGUGCUUGCCUUAAUCUAAUUUACUGGACGUAAGCCUUGCUCGUGUUGUCUUGCAAGACAGAUGUCAAAUCCCCCGGCUCAACCUGUGAACUGCAUUUGUGACUGCUAGGCUACAGUACAGUAAAGGGGAAUUGAAUUCCUCGUGUAGCAAUGAUAUGCUUACAUCUGCAGAGGAACUCCCAUAGGCAACGCAAUCCCCUGGACCUGUACUGACUCUCAUGCACUAUAGCGUGCGGAGCAGACUUGAUUACAUGCCCUGGUACUCCACUCCCUAAUACCAUCUCAACUGGUUGUUGGUAACGUUCCUUCUCAGUAACGUAACUCACGCAUGUAAUUGACCGCCUGGUACAGUACGGCCGCUUGGUUGAAACUCAAAUGAAUUAACG